CUAACACGGUGUUUCUGGUCAGCCGCGAAGUUGUCCUCCUUCUACGUCUUCUUUGUUAGCUCCGCCUGUAGGGUAGGUCACCGUGCCGGAGUGGCCGGUGCCGUCGUCGUCCAGGAACCACAGAGGUCCACCUCGCCGGAGCAGUGGCAUGUGGUGCCCGUCGAUGCCUCCCCGGCGCUAGGCGCCUAGGCCGUCAGCAUCCAGAUAAGAUCACAGCCUGCCCCGUGCCGCGUUACCUCAAUUUUAUUCGCCGUCUCUCUCUCUCUUUCUCUCUUUCACAGGUGCUCGGUUCAUUGAGGAGUAGUGCCAUCAAGCAUCACGCCUUGCCAGCUGCGGAGAACAAGGGCGAGCUCAACUCCAUGUUCACCAUCCCCUGCAGGAAUAAGCUGAGCGUGACUUUCCCCAUCACUUUCUCCCUCUCAUUUGAUUUCUUUCUCUGUGUCUCACUCGACCCCAAGCUCCUCUUAUUCUCUUCCAUGGCGCGUGGGUGAUGACCAGGAUGAGCGGCAACAGAUGACCGCUGCCUUACCCUCAUUGUGUCGCCACGCCCAGGCAGUCACACCAAGCUGCAGUAGAUGGGCGCGACAAGUACGGAGAGCAGAUCCCCGUUGAGCAGCGCCAGUCAUGUACUCCUACAUCCUCUCAAGUUGUGUGCUGAUUCUUUGCUCAGAUCUUAUUUUUGUAUCUAAUUUUGAUAUUUUCAAAAAGCCAUCUGUUUGUCAUGAUUACAGCUUUACCGCUGGCAUGGAGACUGAGGUAAAGAAAGGCUAAUUAGCAAAGAAACAAGGUAACCAAAUAGCUGCAAGGGAAAUCAAUAACAUGGGCUUCACCAAAACGGGUUAUCAGCUUAUUUAGAGUUCUUACCCUCUCACAGUAACAUGGGCUUAGCAAAAAACGGGUUAUCAAUUUUUCAGUGUUAUUAACCUUACCCUCAAAUCUAAGUACAAAAAUGUAAUACAGAAAACAUAUAUGCUUGAAAUCAUACUAAGGGAUACUCCGAAAUCAGAUUUAGGCGGACUGUUUAUUUUCUACCCAAGUAAGAAGGUACUGACAUGAAUUGUCAACACAUUUAAACGAUGCAACUGUUUAUAGGGAGAGAUUCAAAAAUACCAAUUCAAGGUCAACAUAACUUUAUUGAACACCUCUUCAUCAUGUCACUACAUAAAUUACAAAUUAUGAUUAAAUAAUUAGUGAAUAGCAAGCACUGGAUUGGAUUCCCAAACAACCAUCCACCCCGUGUAAAUUAGACUAAAAUGUUGAGCAUUUAAAUAUAAUUGAUAACUAUAAUUUCUACAUGCAUUGUCGUUUCUUAUUCUACAAAAUUAUUUGGUACAGUAACAACACUACCAACCACACAAUUUAUACGCAUACGAUAGAUUGUUAUCACCAACGAUUGCUCCACCAAGAGGUGAGAGCAGAAGCACGACAAAUGGACACAGAGAUAGGGGAUGCGGACGUACCAUGGUUGUGGGAAUGAGUACGACAUAACCAACUCAACCAGUCACCCACUCCACUUCCAUUUUCUUCUACUGGUAUAUUCCCAGCAUCUCCCGUUUGCGUCUUGCAUUCAUCCACCCAUAGCCUGUGCUUCAACUGGACCACUCAUUUAUUAUCUUCUGAUGGUGAUUUCUCCCUUUUUCUGAACUGGGAGUUUCCCGUGCACACCUGCUUCGUGAAACACAAGCAGGUUAGCUAGCUCUAGCUGCUCCAUUUGACUUACAUAAUGGUAAUUUGCUCCUAAACUUGCUUAUGGGACAAAGCGCAAUACGUAAAUAAGGUCCAACAUUCUGUCCUAAGGAGGAAAGUCGAGCAACUUGCGGUUCAGCUUUGUGAUCUUCUAAAGUAUAUGGAACGCACAUUCUUAAGAAGUCUGGGUCGUCUCCUUGCGUCGAAUAGAUGUCUCCAGUUCAAAGACCAAAGAAGCAUCGGUCUUCACAUCAAAGCUGCAUGGUCCAUCUUUGAUGCCUAUCUAAAUGUAAACUUGUGGUACUUUGCAAGGUAUAGCAUGGCCUGCCCACAGUUGCAGGUCUCCAGUCCAUGCAGGUCUCCAAGAACUUUGGAAGGAAAGGGAGAAUUCUGAAAAUAAGGACACACGUGAGCCUGAUGCUGUCACACAAGCUGAGCUUGCCGAGAAGAUGAUUCUGCUAAGAAGAAAGUGAGAGACCUCACGACUGAAGUAGAUGUACGGUUUAAGCAGGAUAAGCUUCUCUAUGAAGAUCUGCUUGACAUGUUUCUUUGAACAUUUAUUUCCUCAAUUGCAGAAUCUUACAUAUUACUACAGGUUGUUAAACGAGUUUAUUUAUCUUGCUUUCUUUGAA